CUCUUCUUUUGUCCCUCUUCCAACUUUGGUCUUUACACAGCCAAUGUGGAACUUCUUUCUUCCUAAAGUUCUCAUCUAUGCUUCCUUGCACAAGACUGAGGGCAUCAGUUGGGGAAUUCCAAGCCAGAGUUGCAGCCUGCUGGCUCUGUCAAGGAGGAGGGAGGCAAGAGGGAUGAGCUCCUGAAACCUCCCUGCUGCUGUCCUUCCUCAGCUGCAAAGGGGUCCUGGUGAGCUCCUCAGAGACAGCGUUGCUGGGUCACCAGAAGGCCACCAGCCUUAAUGACUGUAUUCAGUCUCAGGAAGGCUGCUUAUGAAACACACCUAGGAGUGUGGCUAAGACUUUUUUCCCUGAUUGCAAAGGUAUCCUGCUACCAGUGCUGCUGGAGAGCAGACAAUGCAGGAGUUACAGGGAUCUGGGGGGAAGCUCUGCAGCAACUGAAAACAGUCUGGGAAAAAAGAAGAAUUGCUCUCUUGGGAGCCUCAGAAGAAAGCUGCAAAGUGACAAAAAUUUGUUCUCUGCUGCGUGGAAAAUGCUGGGUCUUACUUAUUCUGCUGAGGUCACCAUGGAGUCUUGGUGGUGCCCAGCUGCACUCAUCAUGCG